rnacentral:lncRNA from 1 species
UUGAAAAGAACUUCUUUUCCUUUAUUAAGAAUCACUUAAACAAUCUACAAGAUAUGUUUAAUCAGAUUUACACGACGUUGACACAACUCGUCACUGACCAAUUCUUAAUCUACCCAAACUCACAACACAGCAACAGCUAUGCAUACACUCUGUUCACUCACCAAGAACCCUAACAGCUUCUAGCCUAGUACUUGAGAUUCACAAAGAUAGUCUAAACGCCCACCUAAACCUAAAGUCUAGACUGCGAAUAUAAAGGAAGCGUCAUAGACAACUUUCCUAAUCUUCAGAUCACACCAAAUCUUCUUUCCUUGAUUUGAUCGUAUCUUCAAUACACCGAAUAACUUGAGCAUCACGUUCUGGAAACUUCCAAUCACCAAUCACUGCUCGCCACAUCAUCUUCAUUUAAUGUCUCGCAGUUUCCUGCAUACAGCUCUCUCAUGUGCUCCACAUGAUCUUCCUGUAGCCCGACAUCCAUAUGUCUUCAAUCUCCCCCUUUUUACCUGAAUGUGACACCUCAAGCUCCAGAGCUACCUGUCAGGAUUAGUUUGCCAAGAUACACACCAAGAAGCACCAAUGUAUAUUUCAAACUCAAAAGAAUUCUGAAAUAACAUUCAUUAGCAAAACAGAAACUGCUGGGGAUUCAAGUUUCAACACCCAACAGAAGCAAAUACAGAACAGUAGUGCAAAAUCUAUCAAAGACAC